CACGUAGGGUGCGAGCGUUGUCCGGAAUUAUUGGGCGUAAAGAGCUCGUAGGCGGUGUGUCGCGUCAGCCGUGAAAACUUGCAGCUUAACUGUGGGCGUGCGGUCGAUACGGGCAUCACUGGAGUUCGGCAGGGGAGACUGGAAUUCCUGGUGUAGCGGUGAAAUGCGCAGAUAUCAGGAGGAACACCGGUGGCGAAGGCGGGUCUCUGGGCCGAUACUGACGCUGAGGCGCGAAAGCCAGGGGAGCAAACGGG
rnacentral:rRNA from 1 species